GACCUGUUAGCUCAGUUGGUAGAGCANNCAACUGACUCUUAAUCAGUGGGUCUAGGGUUCGAGUCCCUAACGGGUCACCA
rnacentral:tRNA from 1 species